rnacentral:lncRNA from 1 species
AUGUUUAAAAUGCUUUUAAUCAAGGAAUGGAGUCCAAUAUCAGCUCUACACAAACUGAUGCCUAGUGGCCAGCAGCCAACAUCGUGAGCUUUCUUGUUCAACGUUAGAAAUUGCAAAAACUGCCUAAAUUCUUCUUCAUUAAUUGAAUUUGCAGAACUGCCAGCAUUCUUAUUCUUUUCAACUAAAAUGGAUUUGCAGAAACUUUGAGUCUUUGAGUGAGGCAGGGCCACAGGGAGCAGAGCACAAGAAGCAAAUAUGCAGGGAGCAGAGCACAACAAGCAAAUAUGCAGUGACGAUGAGAUGAAAUUUGAGUCUUUGAAUACUUUGUUUUCAACUAUUGUCCGCUUUGUUCUUGUGUCAUUCAUUCAUUUGUGUGAACUGUAAGUGAUGGUAUGAAGUGAUGAUGACAUGAACUGUAAGUGGCUAAGUGAUAUGAAUUAUGAAGUGAUGAAUUGAUGAUGAGAUGAACUGUAAGAGUGUAAGUGAUGAACUGAAGUUGAUGUGAGAGAGUGAGAGAGUGAGAGUUAUAAGUUAUUUGAUUGUUUUACAUUUGCUUAUGGUCUGGGCCCUUGAAUUCAUAUAAGUUAUUUGAUUGUUUUUCAUUGCUUUCAGUUUUUCUAUUGCUGACAGGUUUGAGAUUUAAAAUUUUCAUUUGGGCCUUAGCUGAAAGCUGGCCCAAUCUUAAACUCGGUUGGAGGCCCAACCAACCGAUACCAACCGAUACCAACCGAUACCGAGAAGUUGGUAUACCGACUUUUGUGGCCGGUAAUGGUACUUCAUUUUGUGUACCAAUAAGUUCUGGUACGGUAGGUGGUUUUGGCCUUGAAGGGUCGGUACCGUAC